AAUAUUAGUCAAUGGGGGGAACCCUGAACUAGCAACGCCGCGUGAAGGAAGAAGGUCUUCGGAUUGUAAACUUUUGUCUUCAGGGACGAAACAAAUGACGGUACCUGCGGAGGAAGCCCCGGCUAACUACGUGCCAGCCGCCGCGGUAAUACGUAGGGGGCAAGCGUUAUCCGGAAUUAUUGGGCGUAAAGAGUGCGUAGGUGGUUUUGUAAGCGCGGGGUGAAAGGCAAUGGCUCAACCAUUGUAAGCCUUGCGAACUGCAAGACUUGAGUGCAGGAGAGGAAAGUGGAAUUCCUAGUGUAGCGGUGAAAUGCGUAGAUAUUAGGAGGAACACCAGUGGCGAAGGCGACUUUCUGGACUGUAACUGACACUGAGGCACGAAAGCGUGGGGAGCAAACAGG
rnacentral:rRNA from 1 species